rnacentral:rRNA from 1 species
UACGAAGGGGGCUAGCGUUGCUCGGAAUCACUGGGCGUAAAGCGCACGUAGGCGGCUUUCUAAGUCAGGGUGAAAUCCUGGAGCUCAACUCCAGAACUGCCUUUGAUACUGGAGAGCUUGAGUCCGGGAGAGGUGAGUGGAACUCCGAGUGUAGAGGUGAAAUUCGUAGAUAUUCGGAAGAACACCAGUGGCGAAGGCGGCUCACUGGCCCGGUACUGACGCUGAUGUGCGAAAGCGUGGGGAGCAAACAGG